UUCCGGUUGAUCCUGCCGGACCUGACUGCUAUCGGAUUGAUACUAAGCCAUGCGAGUCAUUGUAGCAAUACAAGGCAGACGGCUCAGUAACGCGUAGUCAACCUAACCUAUGGACGGGAAUAACCUCGGGAAACUGAGAAUAAUGCCCGAUAGAACACUAUACCUGGAAUGGUUUGUGUUCCAAAUGAUUUAUCGCCGUAGGAUGGGACUGCGGCCUAUCAGUUUGUUGGUGAGGUAAUGGCCCACCAAGACUAUUACAGGUACGGGCUCUGAGAGGAGUAGCCCGGAGACGGGUACUGAGACACGGACCCAGGCCCUAUGGGGCGCAGCAGGCGAGAAAACUUUGCAAUGUGCGAAAGCACGACAAGGUUAAUCCGAGUGAUUUGUGCUAAACGAAUCUUUUGUUAGUCCUAGAAACACUAACGAAUAAGGGGUGGGCAAGUUCUGGUGUCAGCCGCCGCGGUAAAACCAGCACCUCAAGUGGUCAGGAUGAUUAUUGGGCCUAAAGCAUCCGUAGCCGGCUCUGUAAGUUUUCGGUUAAAUCUGUACGCUCAACGUACAGGCUGCCGGGAAUACUGCAGAGCUAGGGAGUGGGAGAGGUAGACGGUACUCGGUAGGAAGGGGUAAAAUCCUUUGAUCUAUUGAUGACCACCUGUGGCGAAGGCGGUCUACCAGAACACGUCCGACGGUGAGGGAUGAAAGCUGGGGGAGCAAACCGGAUUAGAUACCCGGGUAGUCCCAGCUGUAAACUAUGCAAACUCAGUGAUGCAUUGACUUGUGGUCAAUGCAGUGCUGCAGGGAAGCCGUUAAGUUUGCCGCCUGGGAAGUACGUACGCAAGUAUGAAACUUAAAGGAAUUGGCGGGGGAGCACCACAAGGGGUGAAGCCUGCGGUUCAAUUGGAGUCAACGCCGGAA
rnacentral:rRNA from 1 species